rfam:Musca domestica strain aabys unplaced genomic scaffold Scaffold18734, whole genome shotgun sequence.
AGAACGGCUCCUAUAGGAGCCAUCUGGCAAUCAGAGGAAAUUAUUUU